rnacentral:rRNA from 1 species
UACGGGGGGAGCAAGCGUUGUUCGGAUUUACUGGGCGUAAAGGGCUCGUAGGCGGCCAACUAAGUCAGACGUGAAAUCCCUCGGCUUAACCGGGGAACUGCGUCUGAUACUGGAUGGCUUGAGUGUGGGAGAGGGAUGCGGAAUUCCAGGUGUAGCGGUGAAAUGCGUAGAUAUCGUAAGGAAGACCAGUGGCGAAGGCGGGUCUCUGGACAGUUCCUGACGCUGAGGCACGAAGGCCAGGGGAGCAAACGGG